GGCCCCAGCGGCAGGCGGCGCGGUCCCCGCGGGCGCCCGGGCGUGCGGAGUGUGCCUCCUUGGCGGUGUAGACGGCGCAGUCUACACCGCAGCCCCCCGUUCCGCGGACUUCUAUUGCUCACCCGCCGUGGAAGAGCCACUGAGGAGAACGGAAGAGAGUCAAAGAGGAAUCAAAGAGUCGGCUUAAAAUGUAGCAGGGGAGAUAGAAUUCGUAGAUCUACCAGCCAAGGGCUCGAGCUGUCCAGGAAAACCUUGCAUACAAGAGAGACCACACUAAGACACCUCCAGUGCGGCCUACAGAUCUGAUCAAUAACGUCACUGUGGCUGUAUUUAACUCCCCUGGGGACACACUGAAGGUUUCCAGCUAGUUUGUUUUUCCUACAGGUCACACAGAGUGGGGAAAGGUGGAGAUAAGGGCACACAAUGGGCAUUAUUUUAAAGAUUCAUUCAUUUAACAAUAGCACAUAGUAGGCACUGUUCUAGUUGCUUGGAUACAUCAAUGAACCAAUCAGGCAAGUUGUAUCUUAGAAGGUGACAGAUGUUCUGGAAAAAAAAAAAAAAAUAGAACAGGACAGGCUGGGAGGGAGCCACUGAGGGAGACUUCUAGGAUGCUAUGAAAAUCCUAUAUCUUGGGAUGCCUGGGUGGCUCAGUGGUUGAGCAUCUGCCUUUGGCUCAAGGUGUGAUCCCGGAGUUCCCGCAGGGAGCCUGCUUCUCCCUCUGCCUGUGUCUCUGCCGCCCUCUGUGUGUCUCUCAUGAAUGAAUAAAUAAAAUCUUAAAAAAAAAAAAAAAGUAAGU
rnacentral:lncRNA from 1 species